CCCAGUCAGAGCAGCUCCUCCUGCCUGGCCUAUCAUGAGGGUUCAGGUCCUUACACCUUAUUGUCUGUUUUCCUAGUACCUGUGUGGCAGACCGGAAAUAGAUUUCAAAAUGCACAGCUGCAGAAUUCAGGAGUAGAAUGAAGGCCUAGGGUCAAGCCCUGUUUUUCAUCAUGGGCUCCUCUAUUCACGCUCGUUGACACCUUU
rnacentral:lncRNA from 1 species